GAUUUCAAUUGAAAAAGUCAUCAAUAAAAAAGUUGUAUAAAUCAUCAAGAUCUAUAACUUUUAUGUUGGUUAUUUCUUCAUCCGACAAAGUGAUUUGUAUGAUUGUUCACAAAAUGUAUAAAUCUCUUAUAUAGUUUUAUACAUUUUGUGAACAAUCUUAUAAAUAACUUUGUUGGAUGAAUAAAUGACUAAAAUAGAAGUUAUAUAUCUUGAUGAGUUAUACAACUUUAUUGUUGAUGACUUUUUCAGCUAAAAUC
rnacentral:pre_miRNA from 1 species